UUUAUGGUCCAACUCUCACUUCCGUAUAUGAGUACUGGAAAAACCAUAGCUUUGACUAUAUGAACCUUUGUCAGCAAAAUGAUGUCCCUGCUUUUUAGUAUGCUGUUUAGGUUGGUCAUAACUUUUCCCCAGCCCAGGGUUAAUCCCAUGCUUGCCCGUGUUUAAAAGAUCUCAUCACCCCUGCUUGGAACGGGAACAAGGACCUCACAGGAUCGUGCUGGAGACCUACUGAAACCACGUGGAGGUUAGUGUCGGCACAGUGCAGGCACCGUAGUAGACGCUCAGGAAAUGCUGCGUCUUUCAAUAAGAAAUCUGGUUCCGGACAGGCCAAGAAUGCAGUCUGUGUUCUGUCGGAGUCAGCUCCCUGCCCACUUCAGGGACAGCUUUGUGAGGUGAGAGUGAGUCAGGGCAGCCGCGGCCUGCGGGGAGAGCCUGCUCUGGAUUGUGCAACACGCUGGGGUGGGUGCCAAGAGCCAGAGCCGAGUGGUCCAUAUUCUCCUGGCUGCCCUGCCCCAGCACCUGCUUGCGGGGUAGGGGGAUCCUAGCUAGAGCCCUGCUAGGGCUCACCUCCAUGCCCCCCAGCCCUGAGGCCAGACUGCUUUCAAGUCGUGUCCCAGUGGGUGUUGCCAAGCCCUGAACAGAACAGUCUAGCCCACCCUCCACUCCUGGCAACCUGAUGAAGCAUCUUAGGCAGGGCUCCUGGCCUUGGCACGUGGGCCCACCUGCCUGUAUCACUUGCCUGUUUCUCACACACCUGGCCCCUCUCACAGCCCUGCGUUUUUCUGCAGGAGCGCCUUCGCCAGGCACACGUGGUACUAAGUGCUUUCACAUGUCUUGUCUCUCUCAAUCAUCACAGCAGUUCUGAGGCUGGUAUAUAAUGCAGCAUUAUGCCCUCUUUACAGGUGAGGCGACUGAGGCUCAGAGCGAUCCAGCCGCUUGUCUCUGGUUGGGCGGCGAGCUCGGGGCAAGCCCCCGGGGGUAGCGGGCAAGAGCUCCGUGGCUCCCCUGGCUGGAGGGGCUGCGCCUGCCCCUGCACCCCCAGGGCAGGCUGUGUGUUCUCUCUCUCACUUAACAAAGUGAGGUACUUUGUCGGGAUCUUUCGGUAGCUCUUCGGCAGAGGGGCUCAGGGCUCCGAUGAAGACAGCUUGAGGCUUUAACACAGUGGCUUGAGGGUGCUAUUUCUGGUGCUGGGCCCUGAGAGAGAAGAGAAAGCAGCUGUAGAGAUGAGGUGUUUCAGAAAGGGACUCUGGGCCAAUCUCGUCCCCCGGCCAAGGCCGUAGCUAUCAGGACGGUGGUGAUGCGGAGAAUGACUUGAGUACCAGCUCCACGCCACACACUCUGCAUACUGCCGCCUCCUUCCCUCCGUUCUGAUGUUGACCCUGAGACUUUUCUGCUCCCCACUGAACCUCCCUCAUGCUGCCAUUUGUAUUUGGUACCUGCGGGACAGUUUUGUUGAACUUACUUCCCGAUUUCUAAAGUCCGUGGCCUUUUGUGACACCUUGCUGCACCGUAGUCGCAUGCUUGACCCAGAUUUCCACACUUG